rnacentral:rRNA from 1 species
UACGGAGGGGGCUAGCGUUGUUCGGAUUUACUGGGCGUAAAGCGCACGUAGGCGGUUUGUUAAGUCAGGGGUGAAAUCCCACAGCUCAACUGUGGAACUGCCUUUGAUACUGGCAAGCUAGAGUCCGGAAGAGGUAAGUGGAACUCCUAGUGUAGAGGUGGAAUUCGUAGAUAUUAGGAAGAACACCAGUGGCGAAGGCGGCUUACUGGUCCGGAACUGACGCUGAGGUGCGAAAGCGUGGGGAGCAAACAGG